rnacentral:SRP_RNA from 1 species
GGCCAGGCCCGCCGCAACGGAAGGCGGCAAACCCCGUCAGGUCCGGAAGGAAGCAGCGGUAGCCGCACAAUCCGUGUGCCGGCGACUCCCCUGGCCGCC